rnacentral:rRNA from 1 species
CCUACGGGUGGCAGCAGUCGAGAAUCAUUCACAAUGGGGGAAACCCUGAUGGGGCGACGCCGCGUGGGGGAAUGAAGGUCUUCGGAUUGUAAACCCCUGUCAUGUGGGAGCAAAUUAAAAAGAUAGUACCACAAGAGGAAGAGACGGCUAACUCUGUGCCAGCAGCCGCGGUAAUACAGAGGUCUCAAGAGAUGGUCGGAAUCACUGGGCGUAAAGCGUGCGUAGGAUGGUUCGUAAGUCGUGUGUGAAAGGCGCGGGCUCAACCCGCGGACGGCACAUGAUACUGCGAGACUAGAGUAAUGGAGGGGUAACCGGAAUUCGCGGUGUAGCGGUGAAAUGCGUAGAUA